rnacentral:ncRNA from 1 species
GCAUGAAAAAGGCAAACUUUGAGUAAUCAGAGGACGCAAAGGAAAGGGUCUUGUAACCGUGGACAGUGUUCGUGAACAGUAUCAGCAUAAAUAGCAGAUACUUACACUCAUAACUGACACUAUAGAAAUAAGAUAGCCUUACUGCCGAA